UACGAAGGGGGCUAGCGUUGCUCGGAAUCACUGGGCGUAAAGGGCGCGUAGGCGGCCAUUCAAGUCAGGGGUGAAAGCCCAAGGCUCAACCUUGGAAUUGCCUUUGAUACUGUUUGGCUUGAGACCGGAAGAGGUCGGCGGAACUGCGAGUGUAGAGGUGAAAUUCGUAGAUAUUCGCAAGAACACCAGUGGCGAAGGCGGCCGACUGGUCCGGUUCUGACGCUGAGGCGCGAAAGCGUGGGGAGCGAACAGG
rnacentral:rRNA from 1 species